rnacentral:tRNA from 1 species
GAGGGUAUAGAUCAGUGGUAGAUUGUGUACUUAGCAUGCAUGAGGUCCUAGGUUCAAUCCCUAGUACCCCCA